rnacentral:ncRNA from 2 species
AAUACGAACAAUAAAACGACUCAUAUAAAUCCCAAAUAUGGUGGGAUGUAUCUACCGGAAGCCAUAAAUUUUCGACUAUGAGUGAACUUAGUAUAUAC